GCCUCGGCCGUGUAGUGGUUAGAGCACGCUUCCUCGGAUAGGAUGAAUCGUGGGUUUGAUUCCCGCCUGAGGCC